rnacentral:lncRNA from 1 species
GCCUAAAAUUCCUCAAAAAUACUCCCCAAAGCUUCCAAAUCUGGAAUUGAAACUUCAAAUUUGAAAUUCUCUUGGAUUUUAACUUUUUUUCAAAAGAAAAACCAAAAACAAAUAAAAACCUUCAAAAAUCCAGAAAUAUUUACGGUUCCAUUGAUAAUUUCAAGUUUUGGGUAUUUGAUUUCCAUCAUCUGGCUCAAUAUUUGGUGGCUGAGGUUUAAAGGUUUCCUGAAGUGGAAUUCGAUUGAUUUUGGGUUUAUUCGGGCUGGUUUUUGGUCUAUUUGGUAGUUCUGUUUGGUUUUUAAACACUCCUGGAUUUCUGAACUGAUUCCUGGUUGUUCGUUUACUCAACACUGCUAGAAAAUGUUGUUUGUUGCUGCUGCUCAAUUUAUCACUUUAGCUGACUUUUUCUACCUCACUUCUAUUCCAAUUCCAGGUACACAACUGUCUUUCAUAACCGUGAGAUGAAAUGUGAAGGCAGAAUCCAAAUGAUAGUUGAAGCAUGAAAUUUGAAUUAUUUCCAUUUCUGAACCCUGUGUUUGAAAUUUAGUUAUUGAUGUUGUUUAAAUUCCUGUUUGUUUUGUAUUAGAUGGAUUAUUGUUGUGAUUCUGAUUCAAUAAGUGUUGUUUGCCAAGUUCAGUCCUAGGUCCAGUCACAUUAGUUAUAGUCAUUCUCAUGUUGGAUAUUGUCGUAAAUAUGUGUUAAAAAUGAUGUGUGUUGAACGGCUUUGAAUUUCAGUAGGUUGGAAGCAUUGAGAUCAAAAUAAUUGGCUGCUCGAAUUUUUAUCUUAGUUAUGUGGAAAGUAAUCUAUGCCUCAUCAUUGUAAUUAGGAUAUUGGAGUUAAAAUUGAGUUUUAGUACAUUCAAUCACAGAUUAUAAAGUCGCGCUUUAGUCAAAUAAUUUAAAGUUGGCUGAACUGUUUUGGGCUGAUUUAAGUUCCAAUAGUACGAAGGCAUCAUUUGAUCAUUUGAGUUUGCAUAGUAAUGUGUGUUGUGAUCGGUGAGGGUGUAUAAGUUUGUUAUUUUAGACAUUGAAUUUGAAUUGAUUUCUGUCAUGCUUAUUCAAAAUAUCACAAGCCACUCAAGUAAAAAUCUGAAUUUGUCAUUAAGCGUUUCAUGGAAUGCCUUCAAAUUUUGAACUGCAUAAUCGACCUCACGACAGUUUUAAGCGGUCAACGAAAUAUAAGUGUGUGCAUGCCAUUGAAUUCAUUAGGGCCUUUGCCUUAAUUUAGAGACAAAGUAAAUGGAAACUGAUAGUUGCUUUAGGAUUGGCCUUUAAAUAAAAAAUAUGAGACGAGUCUCGCCAUAAUGAAACUACAAAGGCGGGGCCCUCAAUAGUGUCUUAUGGAAAUACUUAGAAUUUGGGAGGGCCGUUUAGUGAAUUUCACGGCUUUCCCCAAAGUAAUAUUAAGUUAGAAUCUUUAAACGCAUUUAAUUAAAGUACUUUCCUAAACUCAGGUGUGCAUUGAUGCAACCCAAAUUCAAAUCCCGACGAAGUUGAAAUGUGUUGACGACCACGGGUGCCUUGAUGGUGACGGGGUUCGAAACGCAUUUUCACGAUGCCGUAAUUCUUGUAAACUAAACAACGAUCGAAGAAUAGUUCGAAAAUGGAGACGAGCCUCAGCGAACAAAAACAAAUGUGGGGCCCUCAAUAAUUAGUUAUUAAAAAUGAUUAGAAUUCGGAAGGGCCGUUUAACGAAUUUCAACGGCCUUUCCCAAACAAUAUUACGUUACAAACUUUUUAAGCGCGAUUUAAUUAAAAUUACUUUCUUAAACUCGAGCGCGCAUUGAUGCGACCCAAAUCCAAAUCUCUAUGAAGUCGAAAUGUGUUGAUAACCACGGGUGCCUUGAUGGCGACGUGGUCAAGGACGCGUUUUCACGACAUCGUAAGUCUUUAAAAGUAAAUAAUGGUAAAAGCGGUUUGAUAAAUAAAAGGCACAUAAGCUAGCAUGUAUUAAAAUCAGAUAAAAUCAAAUACGACAGUUGAACGACGGUGCUAGAACCACGGAAUCCAGAAAUGCCUAACACCUUCUCCCGGGUUAACAUAAUUCCUUACCCGGAUUUCUGAUUCGCGGACUAUUAACAGAGUCAUAAUCUUCCUCAGUUCGGGAUUCAAAUCGUGACUUGGGACACCAUUAAUCUCCCAAUUGGCGACUCUGAAUAAUUAAUAAAUAAAUCUCGUUCUGAUUGUCCUUUUAUUAGAAAAAUACCUUUAUGCCCUUGCGGGUGUAAUGAAAAAGGAGGUGUGACAGUUUAUGGAAGAGAUUCUAAAGUGUGUAGCAGCUGAUGACUUCAUACUUAUAGUAUUUUCGCUUCUGCGGCUUGGGAACCGAAGAAGCGGCUUAGGGCAUCGCAGAUGUGAGAUUGGGCAAAAGGCCAGGGAAAUUACUGUGAUGCUAAGGGUUUUAUCCGAGGCUUAAUUUUAAAGUUUGAAAAAUCAAGUUUGAGCUCGGGCAAAUGAGAGGGUUUUAAAUAUGAUAUUAUUGGGUAAUGUUACUAUGAUUCUUUUUAGUUAUAUUCCAUGGUUUUGUGGUUAAAAAUCCAUCUUUCAAAUUCGAAUUUAGGAUAAAAAAUUGGAUAAUUUGGGUAAAACUUCUUUGGCUAAACUAUUUAGUUUUGAAGGGGCAUUUGACCUCCGAUUGGAGAGAUUUUUAUAUGGUUAGACUCGUGAAAGUACGAGGUUUCUGAAAAUGUAAAAAUUAUUCGAUUCCGAGACGUUGGCCUGAGGGACAUUUUUGUCAUAUUACCUAUUUUCGCGCCUUAACUUUAAUUUUAAUAGUAGAAUUAAUUAUUUUCGAUGUUAUUUACAAUAUGUAAUUGGUUUGAAUGGACUGCGAGUUCAAUUCCCCGAGCUCCAUGUGGCAUCCUAAUAUUGAGUGAUUGUUCUUGUUGAUUUUGGAGAUUUUUACAUGGUUAGACUCCUGAGAGUACGAGGUUUCUGAAAAUGUGAAAAUUAUUCGAUUUCGAGAUGUUGGCCUGCGGGGCAUUUUGGUCAUUUUAUCUAUUUUCGCUCCUUAGAUUUAAUUUUAAUAGUGAAAUUGGCUGCUUGUGAUGUUAUUUACAAUAUGUAAUUGAUUUGAAUAGAUUUGGGCCACUCUGAGUCGGAUACUCGGGGCAAGGGCAUCAUUUCUUAGUGAUUUUUAUACCGGUUCGAGGUAAGUGGUCUGUCUAACUUUGUGGGGGGGACCUUUCCCCUUAGGAUAUCUUGACUGUUUUUUAAAUGCCUUGUGCGCAAGGUGACGAGUGUGUACUUGUGCUAAUUGUUGAAAAUUCACCUUACUCGAGUUAUUCAGACUGUGUUUCUUCACGUAUUUAGCUGUUAAAAAUGCAAUUUCACUUGUUAUAUCUUAGGGAAAUCAUGUUAGUGACUUAUUUGCUCUAUUUGACUAAAUUUCAAUAUCUACCUUUUUGUGAAGCAAGCUAGACUCUAGAUUUUACUUGGUGUCUGUACUUAGCUUCUUUUUGUUAAAUGUUGAAUUGAUGUGAUGUGUUUACGAUUGGGUCUACGGGAUGGCAUCCCGGGAGUUUCCCUGUACGUAUUAUGUUCUGAGACUGGAAAUGUGGGAUACUAAGAGAUCUCUGGUACAGGAUUGAUUAAUUGGAGGAUUCUAGGAGAUCCUCGAGAUACUUGGAGAUCCCUCGUGAUGUAAUGGAGGAUACUAGGAGAUCCUCGGAUACUUGGAGAUCCCUCGUGAUGUAAUGGAGGAUACUAGGAGAUCCUCUGAUACUUGGAUAUCCCUUGUGUAUAUGAUGACGAUACCAGGAGAUCCUCGAGAUACCAGGAGAUCCCCGAUAUUAAGUAGCAUGUAGUGAUUGUUCUUGUAUUCGUAGAUUGUAUUUGUAGCCUAUUUCCGUUCUACUUAUUAUUUUUGCUAGAUACUCGAGAUUUACUAUACUCCUACUGUCUACUCAUUUCAUAUUGAUUUAUUUUAUGUUUAUCUCAGUAGGGCCUCGACCUUCCUCGUCACUACCCAACCGAGGUUAGGCUUGGCACUUACUGAGUACCGCUGUGGUGUACUCACGCCUCUUCUGCGCAUGUUUUUCAAGUGUAGAUCCAGGUACUUCUGAGUAGGCGUACCGCCAGUAGCUGUCAGGGAUAUAUUGGAGACUUGAGGUAUACAAAGUCUCCUUCUCAUCCUAUCCAUAGAUGUAGCUGUCAUUUCGAUCCCUUUUGCAUUAGACUACUCUGGUGACUAGAACCGUGUAUGAUUUCUUAUAGUCUGUGUUGCCCGUGGGUUUUCGGGUCUUGGUGGUUACUAGUAUUUUGUAUCAAAGUAUAUGUUCCAGGCGGCAACUUAUACAUUUCCUUUAUGUUACUCGGCAUUUUACUAUUGUUUUUCAUAAAAAGUGUUAAUUCGGCAAUGUGUUAGACUUAUCUAGUCGCGAAGACUAGGUGCUGUCAUGACAGGUUCACAAUUAGUGAACCUGGGUCGUGACAAGUUGGUAUUAGAGCUCUAGGUUCAUAGAAGUCACGGGACACAAGCCGGUUUAUUAGAGUCUCGUUGAUUGGUACAGAGACGUCUGUACUUAUCUACGGGAGGCUAUGUACCUGUUUAGGAAAAAUCUUCACUUUAUUGAAUUCCUUGUCG